CCUACGGGAGGCAGCAGUGGGGAAUAUUGCACAAUGGGCGAAAGCCUGAUGCAGCAACGCCGCGUGAGCGAUGAAGGCCUUCGGGUCGUAAAGCUCUGUCCUCAAGGAAGAGAAUGACGGUACUUGAGGAGGAAGCCCCGGCUAACUACGUGCCAGCAGCCGCGGUAAUACGUAGGGGGCGAGCGUUAUCCGGAAUUACUGGGCGUACUGGGUGCGUAGGUGGUUUCGUAAGUCAGAGGUGAAAGGCUACGGCUCAACCGUAGUAAGCCUUUGAAACUGGGGAACCUGAGUGCAGGAGAGGAGAGUGGCAUUCCUAGUUUAGCGGUGACUUGCGUAGAUAUUCGGAGGACCCCCAGUUGCGACGGCGGCUCUCUGGACUGUACCUGACACUGAGGCAC
rnacentral:rRNA from 1 species